UACAGAGGGUGCGAGCGUUGUCCGGAAUCACUGGGCGUAAAGGGCGCGCAGGUGGCGCCGCAAGUCCAUGGUGAAAGCUCGAUGCUCAACAUCGAGUCGGCCACGGAGACUGCGGGGCUCGAGCACUGUAGGGGCAGAUGGAAUUCCGGGUGUAGCGGUGGAAUGCGUAGAGAUCCGGAAGAACACCGGUGGCGAAGGCGGUCUGCUGGGCAGUUGCUGACACUGAGGCGCGACAGCGUGGGGAGCAAACAGG
rnacentral:rRNA from 1 species